UACGUAGGGGCUAGCGUUAUCCGGAAUUACUGGGCGUAAAGGGUGCGUAGGUGGUUUCUUAAGUCAGAGGUGAAAGGCUACGGCUCAACCGUAGUAAGCCUUUGAAACUGGGAAACUUGAGUGCAGGAGAGGAGAGUGGAAUUCCUAGUGUAGCGGUGAAAUGCGUAGAUAUUAGGAGGAACACCAGUGGCGAAGGCGACUUACUGGACUGUAACUGACGCUGAGUCACGAAAGCGUGGGUAGCAAACAGGAUUAGAUACCCCGGUAGUCCCUGAGCGGGCUGG
rnacentral:rRNA from 1 species